AUUCUUUGGUCGCUGAAUAUUGAUUGGAUUGGGCGAUUGGCCUCUGAUUGUCUGUCCAGCAGUCCAGCGAUCAAACUUCAGAAUUACAAUCAACCCAACCCCAACAAAAAAUCUGUUCAGUUAACGCACCCAAGUUCACCAGAGCUGAAGAGCACGGGUUCCAUGGUUAAAGCAUGCGGCCAGAGAUCCAGGAUCCAGGAGAUAGAAAGCGGGGACGGCCAGAUUGCGGCGGUUCUCCGGCGCGCCGCGGCAUGAUCUGCCGGCACCGCCGCCGGAGCAGCUACUAGGACCGUUAUCAGGGGUGCUCGGGGGACUGGUGCCGUGGCUGGACGGAGGAUCGCGUGGGAUGCCUGGCGGCCCUGCUGGUUGCGGUCGCCGCCGCCGGAAUGACCUCAAUGACUGCCGGCGGCCGCGAGGCGGCCAUACAUUUUGCAAAAAUCUCUGAUUUGGAUCGCAAUUAUAAUAUUUACAGUUAAGCCCCGGUUAUUUACAUAUAGACCCCUUAUUCGGAUCGCGAUUAUUAACCGCAAUCCGAUUAAUUUCAUAUAUGUCCUGGUAAUUUACAUAUACCACCCUAUGUUUGGAUCGCGAUUCCGACUAUUUGCACGUAGCUCCCCGGUUCGAAGAAGCUUUCGUCCCGGUUGUCCUCCACCGGCGUCCUCUCCGCCCUCUGCCCGAUCUGUUUGCCAUCGUCUCGCCGCGCGGGUGAGCUCGCCCUUUCUGGCAUGGCGGUUCGGUCGACUCGUUGACACCUCGCCUCCCAUCUCCGGUUCGGAGUAUCCUGCCUGGCUUGGUGCAACUACCUUUUUGUAUUCAGUGAAAUACUUGAACCUCAUAAGUCGCAAAACCAUGUGUGCAUCUUCCUCUAAUUGUGCAGUUCCCCAACUUGAAGUCCGUGGGGAAGACCUGGGCUACUUGAAUCUGUCAUAGUUGUGAUAAGGUUUAUAUCAGGUCGCUUGCCUUGCUCCUAGUUUAUGAAGAACUAGUUUGUAGUCUGAAGAACUGCAUGCAGCUGUUGUUUCCUGAUCUGCAUGCAUGCAAACAAUCAGCCAGGUAGCCCAUGUUUCGUUACAGUAAGACAUUGUUUUUCUGUACAAAGUAGAUAAACACCGUCUCCUCAUUAUGGGAGCAACUGAUGACCAGCAGGCACACCGCACACGCAUGCCGUCCUCUGCUCGUUAUGCCCCCUGAUGGAAAAAGAGGUGAUGGAACAGAGGAGUCAACUCUGGCAGGCUCCUCGUCUUCCUCUGCUCGUAUGUUCGAAUGCUACUACGAGCUUAUUUUGCAGUAGGAACGAGACACGCAUCAUCCUAGUUCGUUAGCCACAAGCCCGCAACUGCGAUAGUCCUUCCCGAUGAGCACCCACGAGAGGGCCCUCGUCGAUCGACCAUGAGUAACGACAUCGCCCAAGCAGUCACCGCGUACUGGCCUCCGGUGAGGCCUCCCUGUGCGCUCACGACGCCGGCGUCACGGACAGCCCGACCCCCGGGCCCCGGGCCGACAGCGCCGGCCAUCAGGUGCAAGCUGCGCGCUUGGUGCAGGCAACACGCGGCGUGCCGGAAUACGGAUAAGCGGCGAGACUGCCAGCGCCGGGAAGCUAGGGACGGCCUAGGUGCUCUGCCGCCCCGGUGUGCCGCGGCGUGAAGCAGCGCGGGCGCGGAGUUGGACCUCAAGGGUGGACGAGCCGUCCACCCCCUGGGUGCCUACGAGCCGUGCGAUUGGGAUUCGGCGGCCUAGAUUAGGGGCACCGCGGGGGGCGUCUUCGUCGUCAGGCCGAGCACGCGUGCUCGCUUUGCCAGCGACGGUGGCCAGGCCAGCCGUGGCGCGAGCACGACCAGACGACAUGUUUGCGGAAGCGCCUCGCCGCUGCAACGACCGAACACGGUGCGGUGCGGCACCAGCCAAGAGCGUGUCCGGAACGUGCCGCGGCGGCGGGGAUCUUGCGAGCCAGCGGAGGAGACGAGCGCGGGUCAUCACUGAACCAUCGGAGAGCGCCCGCUGCGGCUGCAGCGAUGCCGCCCACGCUCUGCAUGGGCACCGUCCCGAGCGGCUCUCGUGGCGGGUGUUCAGACUCGUCCAGGGCUCCAGGCAUCAGAGCUGCCAGCGAUGAGCUCCGGAAUUAUUCGCAUGAGCAACUCCGACCAUGUCAACUCCUGCCUCCGCAGGUUCGUAUCCUUCGAGGACGGACAGACGAUGGGGGCAUCUUCGGCGUCGUAUCCUUCCUGAAGGCAUCGUUUUGUAUGACCUCCACUCUUCCUCCGUUGGCUCUAAUUGUUAGGCAAUUUGUGGGUGUGCAGGUUUCCAUCAUGCUUUUUCUAUAUCCCUGCAGGUUUUCAGUGGUCUUAGGUUGUUUUGGUGCCUGGUGGUGUUGUAUUUUUUUUUCUGUUGCUCUUAUGUUUUUGUCGCUGGCUGUCUUUAGUGUGGUCACUCGGUCACUCUGUGACUCUUUGUAUCCUUGCACUUCGAGGGCUUUCUUGAAGCUGCAUCGUAGUAAUUCUCUUCUUCUUAAUAAAAUACGUGCUCAGACAUGCUCUCGAAAAAAA